UACGAAGAGGGCUAGCGUUGCUCGGAAUCACUGGGCGUAAAGGGUGCGUAGGCGGGUCUUUAAGUCAGGGGUGAAAUCCUGGAGCUCAACUCCAGAACUGCCUUUGAUACUGAGGAUCUUGAGUUCGGGAGAGGUGAGUGGAACUGCGAGUGUAGAGGUGAAAUUCGUAGAUAUUCGCAAGAACACCAGUGGCGAAGGCGGCUCACUGGCCCGAUACUGACGCUGAGGCACGAAAGCGUGGGGAGCAAACAGG
rnacentral:rRNA from 1 species